CGCGGUGGUCCCACCUGACCCCAUGCCGAACUCAGAAGUGAAACGCCGUAGCGCCGAUGGUAGUGUGGGGUCUCCCCAUGCGAGAGUAGGGAACUGCCAGGCA
rnacentral:rRNA from 8 species